rnacentral:rRNA from 1 species
UACGAAGGGGGCUAGCGUUGCUCGGAAUUACUGGGCGUAAAGGGCGCGUAGGCGGAUAUUUAAGUCAGGGGUGAAAUCCCGAGGCUCAACCUCGGAACUGCCUUUGAUACUGGGGAUCUCGAGUCCGGGAGAGGUGAGUGGAACUGCGAGUGUAGAGGUGAAAUUCGUAGAUAUUCGCAAGAACACCAGUGGCGAAGGCGGCUCACUGGCCCGGAACUGACGCUGAGGUGCGAAAGCGUGGGGAGCAAACAGG